rnacentral:snRNA from 1 species
UGGUUUCUCUUCAAAUCCUAUAAAUCUUUUGUCUUUUGCUAAAGGUUUCCAUAAAGAGGAACAGUUUA